UUCUUUUCCCAGAUGUGUGCUU
rnacentral:siRNA from 1 species